rnacentral:rRNA from 1 species
UCAGUCGACUCCUACGGGGAGGCAGCAUGGGGGAAUAUUGCACAAUGGGGGAAACCCUGAUGCAGCCAUGCCGCGUGUGUGAAGAAGGCCUUCGGGUGUAAAGCACUUUCAGUAGGGAGGAAGGUAGUGUAGUUAACACCUGCAUAUUUGACGUUACCUACAGAAGAAGCACCGGCUAACUCCGUGCCAGCAGCCGCGGUAAUACGGAGGGUGCGAGCGUUAAUCGGAAUUACUGGGCGUAAAGCGCAUGCAGGCGGCCUGUUAAGUCAGAUGUGAAAGCCCGGGGCUUAACCUCGGAAUUGCAUUUGAAACUGGCAGGCUAGAGUCUUGUAGAGGGGGGUAGGAAUUUCAGGUGUAGCGGUGAAAUGCGUAGAGAUCUGAAGGAAUACCAGUGGCGAAGGCGGCCCCCUGGACAAAGACUGACGCUCAGAUGCGAAAGCGUGGGGAAGCAAACAGGAUUAGAUACCCUGGUAG